AUGAUUUCUAACGACUUAACCUCUACUCCUAGUGUGUUUUCUUCUUUGGUGCUAGGUCUCCUACAUGACGACAUGCUUAUCCUCGAUGAGUCCAUCCCUCCAAUGGACAAAAUGAUGGCCAUGGUGGACGAUAAUGCACCCCCACAUGGUUCCAUCAAGAUGAAGAUGACAACGAGACGAUCUUCAACACCUCACCUACAACACAUGUGCGACGCUCCAAAGGAGUUGACGAAACGAGCUCUUGAGAGCAACGAUGCUUUGGGAUCCCGUGGACUAUCCUUACCACCGUUCCCUUCGCGCAAGGACUACGCGCAUCUCUUUUACUUGUCUCUCACACGGCUAUGGGCUAUUUACCACUUGUCACCUUAUGCUCAUUUUCCCGUGUUCACUUGCAUGUAUUCCUUGUUUCUAUGCCUUUGCCAUGCAAUUGUGACCCUUGUUUGCAUCUACCCAUGA
rnacentral:rRNA from 1 species